AUGUACAACACAACAAAAAUGAGAAACCACUGACGAUAAAAGAUAACGCAUUUACAAUAUGGAAAAAUUUUUGUCAAUUUCUAAAACCAGAUUAAACGGGAAAAACUUUAUAUAAUUAGGAAAGGUGGAAAGAAGAACUGCCUUGAGUAUUCUAAAAGGAAAGCAAAGGAUGGCCGAGUAAACUCAGAAUGCACAUAGAUAUCACACACCAUGACGCUUCGCUGCAAAAAUGUGCCAGAUUUACCGGUAGGCAAUGGUAGAGAAACGCGCCGAGUACAAAGGGUUAAGAAGCUACAAGUAAAACCAAAGAAAAGAAACAUCAGUCUAUAGGACUAUAAUCGUUACAAAAUUCUAUCUUACUAUACGUUUCUGCUAUCCAUCCUAACAAAUAUUUCAGUUUCUCCGUUUUCUCGUCCGACGCUUUAAAACCCGUUAUAACCUCUGUCAAACAUUUCGACAGAUGCUUCAUAACAGGCUAGAAGAAAAAGAAACGAUUAGUAAUAUCGUAUAAACAAUAAUUCUCUCUAAUUACAGAAUUUUCAAGAAAUACAGAGAAAUAAAUAUUUACCAUGGGCCAAUCUUGUCUAAAUAAAGCUACGCAUUGAUCGCUAAAACUA